UAUGGCUGAUUGCACUUUGUGGUAUUUGUAGCCACGUUGGUCAUGGACGUUGUUCGCUUAAAAUAGCAAGUAUUGUGUAUUUUUGUGUUGAAUAAGUCAAACAAAGCUGUGCUUUUAGCUGCACUUUCGAAGCCAAGAAGAGAGGGAAGCAGCAAGAAGAAGAAUAUGACUGACGAACAUCUGCAGAGCAAGUUGGCAGAACACAAAAGCAACUGCAUUGUGUGGAGCAGAAUAGACGUAUACAAAUUUGGUGGACCCAAAGGCUGCAGUUGGACUCUUCACUGAUGAUGAAAAAUGGAAAAAUCACUUCACUCCAGACCAGUUUCAAACAAAUUGAGCUGGUGGAGUGAUAAAACUUAAACCAGAUGCUGUGCCAACCAGUUUUGUUGAUCGUAAGCUACCAGAGGGAUGUAAAGCUCCUGCUGAGAGGAAACCUGUCGGCCUACUAGAGAAACGAACUGAGGAUACCGAGGUUGGAGAGCCUUCAAAUGUGACCAAUGACAUCAGUCCUGCGGAGAACUUGGACACUACAGAAGAUGAUGUCCCCACCCUGAAGAACCUAGUACAACAGCUUCAGGCUGGAAUUGAAGCUUUAGAGGGAAAACUCAACCUCUCUCAGAAAGAGAAAUGAG